rnacentral:rRNA from 1 species
CCUGGUUGAUCCUGCCAGUAGUCAUAUGCUUGUCUCAAAGAUUAAGCCAUGCAUGUGUAAGUACAGGCCGACUUAAGGCGAAACCGCGGACGGCUCAUUAAAUCAGAUAUAACUCAUUGGAUCUCUGCUGAACCGCAUUACUUGGAUAACUGUGGUAAUUCUAGAGCUAAUACAUGCCUUUGUAGUCUCCGACCGCGAGGGAGGAGCGCUUUUAUUAGACCAAAACCCUCGGCAGCCGGUUCCCGCAAGGGGCCGGCCGCACACAUCUUGGUGAAUCAGAAUAACUUUUGCCGAGCGCACGACCCCUCCCGUAACCCGGGUUGGGUCGGCGCCGCGUCCUGCAGGCGUCUGCCUUAUCAGCUCUCGAUUGUAGGUUAAACGCCUACAAUGGCUAUCACGGGUAACGGGGAAUCAGGGUUCGAUUCCGGAGAGGGAGCCUGAGAAACGGCUACCACAUCUAAGGAAGGCAGCAGGCGCGCAAAUUACCCACUCCCGGCACGGGGAGGUAGUGACGAAAAAUACUGUUGCGAGCCCCGAACGGGGCCUCGCAAUUGGAAUGAGUACACUUUAAAUCCUUGUACGAGGAUCGAGUGGAGGGCAAGUCUGGUGCCAGCCGCCGCGGUAAUUCCAGCUCCACUAGCGUAUAUUAAAGUUGUUGCGGUUGAAACGCUCGUAGUUUGACUUCUGCUCCGGACCGGCGGUCCGCCUUAGCGGCGGCUACUGCCGGGUUCCGAGCUGUGUCCCCGCCGGCGCACAUGGGGUUUUUAUGCCCUUAACCGGGUGUCCCCUUGUGGCCGGCACGUUUACUUUGAAAAAAUUAGAGUGCUCAGAGCAGGCUGGUUUUUGCUUACAGCCCGAAUGGUCGUGCAUGGAAUGAUGGAACAGGACCUCGGUUCUAUUUUGUCGGUUUUUCGGAACCCGAGGUAAUGAUUAAUAGAAGCAGACGGGGGCAUUCGUACUGCGACGCUAGAGGUGAAAUUCUUAGACCGUCGCAUGACGACCUACUGCGAAAGCAUCUGCCAAGGAUGUUUUCAUUGAUCAAGAACGAAAGUUAGAGGUUCGAAGGCGAUCAGAUACCGCCCUAGUUCUAACCUUAAACGAUGCUGACUAGCGAUCCGCCGCAGUUAUUCCCAUGACCCGGCGGGUAGCUUCCGGGAAACCAAAGUCUUUGAGUUCCGGGGGAAGUAUGGUUGCAAAGCUGAAACUUAAAGGAAUUGACGGAAGGGCACCACCAGGAGUGGAGCCUGCGGCUCAAUUUGACUCAACACGGGGGUGCAUGGCCGUUCUUAGUUGGUGGAGUGAUCUGUCUGGUUAAUUCCGAUAACGAACGAGACUCUAGCCUGCUAAAUAGUCGACGGAUCUCAACCCCGUUGCCCCCGUUGUCGUUCGCGGCGAUGCGGGGCGCGGGUUCCCCGAAACCCGGUCGUCGUGCGGGCCUCCACCGUCGGUCGGUUAGCGCCGCCGGCGGCGCGCCCCGCGGCGCCGGAAACUGGCGUCCGCUUCGCAGUCUUCUUCUUAGAGGGAUAAGCGGCAGCAAAAAAUAUACUAGCCGCACGAGAGUUUGAGCCAUAACAGGUCUGUGAUGCCCUUAGAUGUUCUGGGCCGCACGCGCGCUACAAUGGAGAGUUCAGCGAGCUGUCCCUGCUCCGAGAGGAGCGGGUAACCUCGUGAAAGCUGUCCUUAAAGGGGAUUGGGGCUUGCAAAUGUUCCCCAUGAACGAGGAAUUCCCAGUAGGCGCAAUUCACCAGAUUGCGCCGAUUUAGUCCCUGCCCUUUGUACACACCGCCCGUCGCUACUACCGAUUGAAUGGUCUAGUGAGGGCACCGGACUGGCGCCCUUGGAGCCGCUACCGCCUCGGCGGGCAGCGCCCUCGGGUCGACGGAAAGGUGUCCAAGCUGGGUCAUUUAGAGGAAGUAAAACUCGUAACAAGGUUUCCGUAGGUGAACCUGCGGAAG